CCGGUCCUCUCGCUCCGGCCCCGGGAGACCGCGACCCGCAGGCGUGAGGCGGCGUGAGCCGCGGCUUCAGGGUUGUCUACAUACCCCGCUGCGCGCCGUCGUUUUGUGCCUGCGGGAAAAGUUCGCGCCGUGCGCGCCUCCCGCCCGCGGCAACGGGGCAUGGCCGCAGCGGUCGCGUUCCCGGGACGGAUCUCGGCCGGGAGGAACGGCCGCAGCCUGCGGUCGCCGCUUCACUGCAGGUAAGGUCGGGUAGGAAAAAAGCAAAUAGCGACAAAGGUGCUUUGCUACAGCGGCCAUCGACAGCGCGAGAAGGCGACCCGUGUUCACGAGAAGACAUUUUCAAGAAACCGAACAGGUCAGAGAUUGCAGCGGAAGCGAGGGCCAACUUUUGUACUUCGUGAGAACAGGAUAAAUCCCAACAGAACCAGCGAAGCGAGGCAGGCAGGGAAGUUACCACCAUGCGGAAGCUCUGAGGUUUACGGGCUGUUGGCACAGGCACUUAAAAAAAAAAAAAGGAGGGGGAGUUAAGGAGCCUUGGCCUGAGCCAGCCCCGGCCUGGCCAUCGGGAAAGCGGAGGGGGCUGCGCUGCACAGCUGCAGCCCUUGGCGCUACGCACCUGGUAUCCUCUUUUUUCCUUUUUCUUGGGUUUUUUUUUUUUUCAUCGUCUCAAACUCAGCCGGGGCUGAAGUGCACUUCAAGAGCCAAGAACUGCUCUUUAUAAGCCGUAACAGCUGAGAUUAAGAUGACGCCGUAGCACAACAAACACCCGAGUUAGUUCAGGAUGAACUACAUAGAACAGCAUCUUCAGAACUCAGAAACGUUUGCUUCCUUUCCCCAGUCAACACACGCAUUUUGAAGUCAACAUUAUUUCUAAAUAGAGCUGAUCUCAGCAUAAAGAAAUAUGUGCAGGCAGAAAGAUGCCAUUGUUUUCCGUUUCCUCUUGAGCCACUGUGGCUGUGAUUUUCAUUGUGGCAGAGGAUCUUCAUUAGUAUUAACACAUGGGUAGACUUCAUAAAGCUGCUUCAUUAGCAGGGAAAAAAAAAAGCUUGGCAGCCGUGCUCUUUUUGCAUGAGAUGAGAAUGUCAGCCUUACCUCGGUCAUUUGUAACAUAAUAAGUGCAAGCACAAUGAUUGCAAUGCGGGAACACUGGGGGAAGGGCAAAAAUGCUGCAUAAUACAAAAACAAGAAAAAAAAAGGUGCUCAUUAUACAGUAAAACGUGCUAAAAAUUAGUGAAGAUGACAUCUCAUGAGACUUCAUGCUAAAUAAAUUAAUGUGCUGAUAUGUUUUUAAUUAUUAUUUUUGUACCAGCUUAUUUCAUUCCCAGGAUUCACAUCAGGCAGCAAAGGCUUGCUAGCAUUUAUUGAUUCCCCCCCCCCACCACAUUCCCAGAAUGCAGGCUUUAAUCAUUUCACUGCACCACACUCAGUAAUUUCAUUAAAAACUGGAACCUUCCAUCUUCAGAAAGGCAUUUAAUUUCAAUGACACACAAUUUCUCUUAGCAGCAAACCAUCUCAACAGUAAAAGCUGGCCUAAGGUUCAAAUGCAUAAUUUAGUCCUGAGUUCCCCAUGCUCUGCAUUCCUUUGAAGCUGUAAUUUGACUAACUACCUAAUAACUGUAAUAAGGACAAUGAUUUCCUUAUAAUAUGUUAUUAACCCAUAUUUAAUGAACUCAGAGGCCAAGCUCUGUACAUGUUUGGGUCAGUACCUCUCUAACCUCAAAAUUUUCUAACGAUGUUCUUAGGAAAAAAAAGCAUGGGAUAAGAGUGAGUAUAUACCUAUACUCAUGCCUGUUUUGCUCAAGAUAAUAAUAUUGUAACUUACAUAACAGGAUUCUACAACAAGAGAAACAAGCACUGCAUGAAGCUCUCUUUGUUCAGGACCAAAAAAAUCAAAGCCACAUUUUCUCUGACCAAGGUAGUGUUCUCCUUUUUUCCUGUUUUUUAGUCACAAGGGUUCAGAAAAGACUGCCUCAAAAUUCAGUGUGAAUCUGCAGUAAUUACACCCACAAGUGAAAAGAAAUGCUUUCAGGAGAGUACCGCAGCUGUUACGUAGCAGACAUCAAAAUUACACAAUUGUUCAGGACAGGAAGUGAUGGCAUCUCUCAUUAAACUAAAACUAAACAGGAAAUAACUUUACAUAAUUAGCCAACUUGAAAUCUGGCCAGGUCAUAGGGAUUAAGAACUCUUAGAAAAGUUCGGCUCACUCUGUGUUAAUUGGCCAUGAGCAUGAUUUCAAAGCAGAGAACAUUCCAUACUGCAUAUGAUGUAGAGUACACACCAAAAAAAAAAGGUUAUAUAUGUACAAACUGACAAAAUAAGCUUCUUUUCAGCUACUAAAGGUACGUUAGCUUAAGAUUGAAGGUUUAAAUAGUUCUGUUCCUAACAUACAUUUUAGUUGGCUACCAUUAAGUUACACUAACUAAUCUUCAGCAUUUUAAAGUACAAUGAAGAAUUUCUUUCCAACACUUUCAAUACCACAAUAGAAACAAC
ensembl:lncRNA